rnacentral:tRNA from 1 species
UCCGCUGUGGUAUUGUGGUUAGGAUUUACGGCUCUCACCCGUAGGGCCCGGGUUCGAUUCCCGCCAGAGGAA